rnacentral:rRNA from 1 species
CCUACGGGAGGCAGCAGUGGGGAAUAUUGCACAAUGGGCGAAAGCCUGAUGCAGCGACGCCGCGUGAGGGAUGAAGUAUUUCGGAAUGUAAACUUCUAUUAGCAGGGAAGAAAAUGACGGUAUCUGACUAAGAAGCCCCGGCUAACUACGUGCCAGCAGCCGCGGUAAUACGUAGGGGGCAAGCGUUACCCGGAUUCACUGGUUGGAAAGGGAGCGUAGACGGGGUAGCAAGCCAGAUGUGAAAGCCCGGGGCUCAACCCCGGGACUGCAUUUGGAACUGUGUGGCUGGAGUGUCGGAGAGGAAAGUGGAAUUCCUAGUGUAGCGGUGAAAUGCGUAGAUAUUAGGAGGAACACCAGUGGCGAAGGCGGCUUGCUGGACGAUAACUGACGUUGAGGCUCGAAAGCGUGGGGAGCAAACAGGAUUAGAUACCCCUGUAGUC